CCGUAGGUGAACCUGCGGUUGGAUCAUUAACAAAUGCGAUUGUAUAUAUGGUCUGCACCGACCUAUAUAUAUCAGUCAGUCACAGUGUGAACUCAAUUAUCAGUACUUGGCAAGUUUUGCGUAUGUAUGUACACAGAGCUUCAAGGUAAAUCCGGUCCGCCAUCACGGUUUCCUGAUUUCACUGCUUGAAGGCUUGCCUACAAAACAUUUCAAUGUUAACUAUAGUCUGAAUCAUUCAAUGAUACAAAAGAAGGAAUCAAAAACAACUUUUGGCAACGGAUCUCUUGGCUCUCGCAACGAUGAAGAACGCAGCGAAAUGCGAUACAUAUCAUGAAUUGCAGAACUCUGAAUGAUAAAUGUUUGAACGCAAAUUGCACCGAUCUUCUGGUCGGUAUGUCUGUCUGAGAAUCUUAAAAGUUCCUACUUUUUCAUAAGUUAUUUGAUAGCAAUUGGCGGCUUCUAUACUCGUCGAUAGACCGUUUAAAGUCUAGAAGAAACCCAAACGCGUGACCGUUUCAUCCCUUGCGAAUUUAAAAGAGACAAGACGCGCCACCGUUUAUUUCUUUCAAAAUUCAAAAAGUGACAAAGCGUGUCACCGUUUAUUUCUUCUUUUACACUUUGGAAGAAAUCAUAACGCGCCACCGUUUAAUUUCUUUCAAAGUGAAAUGUACUUUUUUGGCUGAUGCAAGAAGGUGCUUUUGGCAACUUCAAUAUCUCCUUUGAGCUCAGCCAAUCAAGUAAACACAAACGAAAGAAAAGAUCUUGAUCUCAGAUUAGACAGGA
rnacentral:rRNA from 1 species